GGUUCGUACGUACACUGUUCA
rnacentral:miRNA from 1 species